rnacentral:tRNA from 1 species
GUUCAGUGGUAGAAUUCUCGCCUGCCACGCGAGAGUCCCCGGGUUCGAUUCCUGG